CCAUGUGGCUAUACCAGCUUGUCAAAACCUGAGAUCAGAUCGCAGAAGCAAAGCAUGGCCAGGUCUGGUUAGUACUUGGAUGGGAGACUGUUGGAAAUACCAGGUGCCACAGUGG
rnacentral:rRNA from 1 species